rnacentral:tRNA from 1 species
AGGUAAUUAGUUAUAUAAAAAAUACUUGGUUUCGACUCAAGAGUAUGUGGUGUGAACCCGCAAUUACCUA